CAGGAAUGUGGUGGGAGACAUACACCCAUGGGUGCUUCCAAGAGGCACAGCGAAUUCCUGCUGUCAGGCAGAAUUCCCAGAAACAGCAGGUGAGUGGUCUCUACUCACCUUAGAAACGCCCACCGCACAGGAGACUGGCGAAGCUCCCUCUUGAACUUUCUCCCUGCUCGAUGACCUCUCAUCUUCAGGAGACUGGCGAAGCUCCCUCUAGAACUUUCUCCCUGCUUGACGACCUCCCUCCUGCCCCCUCCUCUCAUCUUCAGACUUCUUGUCUUUGCUAAGACUCCAGGGGAGUCCAGGGAGGCCAAGGGGGUCCCUCCUCCAGCAAACAUUCACUGAGGGAGGAGUGGCCCUGUUUAUUCAAAGCAAAUCAUACGUUCUGUGUGCAGCAGCCUACACCCUGGAGGUACAGGAAUUAGGAACUGCCCUGCAGGCCCUGAGGGGCUCCAGGCUGGGUCUGAAGGAGAAGAAAAAUUGAGAAACUGCUGUUUACCUAGAGAAAGACCCUGGAAAACCUCUUCUUGACCAGC
rnacentral:lncRNA from 1 species